AAAUAUCAAUCAUUCCAGAUCAUUUGGUCUAUCAGUCAUCUGUACCACAAGAUUUACACAAAGAAACUCUCACUUCAUUAUUAGAAGAUAUUAUUGAUGUGUUGUUCUGAUAUAAAUGGUGCCUUAAUUUCUUCUUCUACUGAAGUGAUACAAGAUACGAGUAGUGAUGAUAGCAUUUAUAGCAAAUUGUUGACAAAAAAUCGCAUAAUAGAAGAUGAAGCUUCAGUAUAUACAGAUAAAGUACCUGAUUAUGGUUCAAUAUUAUCAAAUUAUGGUUCACAUUAUAUGGGGAAUCCGCAGUAUCUUAAAGACUUCAGAAAUGCCCGGCAUGGAAACUACAAGAAUUCACCUAUAAUAACUCCUAAACAUGUAGGAGAUGAUUUACAUCAUUACAGUAAUGUAUUCUAUGAUGAC
rnacentral:misc_RNA from 1 species